rnacentral:rRNA from 1 species
AUUGAACGCUGGCGGCAUGCCUAACACAUGCAAGUCGGGCGAGCGGCGGACGGGUGAGUAAUGUCUGAGAAACUGCCUGAUGGAGGGGGAUAACUACUGGAAACGGUAGCUAAUACCGCAUACCAUCAGAUGUGCCCAGAUGGGAUUAGCUAGUAGGUGGGGUAAGGGCUCACCUAGGCGACGAUCCGUAACUGGUCUGAGUGGAUGACCCGCCACACGGGAACUGAGACACGGUCCAGACUCCUACGGGAGGCAGCAGUGGGGAAUAUUGGACAAUGGGCGAAAGCCUGAUCCAGCCAUGCCGCGUGUGUGAAGAAGGUCUUCGGAUUGUAAAGCACUGUAAUUUGGGAGGCGUUACCAACAGAAUAAGCACCGGCUAACUACGUGCCAGCAGCCGCGGUAAUUC